UACGAAGGGGGCUAGCGUUGCUCGGAAUCACUGGGCGUAAAGCGCACGUAGGCGGAUCGUUAAGUCGGGGGUGAAAUCCUGGAGCUCAACUCCAGAACUGCCUUCGAUACUGGCGAUCUUGAGUCCGGAAGAGGUGAGUGGAACUCCUAGUGUAGAGGUGGAAUUCGUAGAUAUUAGGAAGAACACCAGUGGCGAAGGCGGCUCACUGGUCCGGUACUGACGCUGAGGAGCGAAAGCGUGGGGAGCAAACAGG
rnacentral:rRNA from 1 species